GAUGAACGCUGGCGGCGUGCCUAAUACAUGCAAGUCGAGCGAACAGACGAGGAGCUUGCUCCUCUGACGUUAGCGGCGGACGGGUGAGUAACACGUGGAUAACCUACCUAUAAGACUGGGAUAAAUUCGGGAAACCGGAGCUAAUACCGGAUAAUAUAUUGAACCGCAUGGUUCCAUAGUGAAAGACGGUUUUGCUGUCACUUAUAGAUGGAUCCGCGCCGCAUUAGCUAGUUGGUAAGGUAACGGCUUACCAAGGCAACGAUGCGUAGCCGACCUGAGAGGGUGAUCGGCCACACUGGAACUGAGACACGGUCCAGACUCCUACGGGAGGCAGCAGUAGGGAAUCUUCCGCAAUGGGCGAAAGCCUGACGGAGCAACGCCGCGUGAGUGAUGAAGGUCUUCGGAUCGUAAAACUCUGUUAUUAGGGAAGAACAAAUGUGUAAGUAACUAUGCACGUCUUGACGGUACCUAAUCAGAAAGCCACGGCUAACUACGUG
rnacentral:rRNA from 1 species